CAGAGCCAAGGAAGCUGCACAGGGACAAGGGCUGAUGAUAUUGAAAGUUCAUAUGGAUCAGGUGAUUUCACUGUGAAAGGCUUCCUCCACAGACUGAGCAUCAUCAAUGACUGGGCAAAAUUCCACUGGGCUCUUCUAGACUUUUUCCAAGGACUAUUUCUGGAAACAAACUUCAACAUUCCCAGAAAGUCACAUGAAGAGUUCACACCGAGUCUCAGAGGAGCCAAUGAACAAAAUCUGGGACUAUAAAGACCAUGAAGUCCUUUGAAGAGUGACUAAGCGCAUUGUACACCGAGAUGCACAGGAGCCUGUAGAAACUAAGACAUUUGGAGCAGCAGGAUGCCAUUGAGAAGAGGUUGGGAAUGUUAAAGCUGGCUCUCAAGAGAUGUAUGAAUGUCCUGCCUCAAAAGUUGCUAUCAUAUGUGAGACAAGAUGGUGGUGGCAGGAACAGGAUUUCCCUUAACUGGACUUUGGAGUGCAUGACAGUUCUGACAUUGCAGAAAAUGCCUGGAUAUUUUUCCAUGAUGGAAAAGAAAGUUGGAAAGCUUAAGCAAAUUAUACGGGUCUGAGCAAGUUAUAUAAGAAGCCAUGUGAACCAAGCUCAUCCCAACAGCUGCCAAAGUGUCUGAAAGUAGAUCCUGGGUCCACCCUUCCCCAUCCCAGCCUUGGAUCUGCUGCUGCUAUGUGAAACGUUUCUGAAAACAGUGACC
rnacentral:piRNA from 1 species